CGCGUUUGGGGAUUCUGUUGACCCAAAAUCGGCUAGAGAACUUCACCGCCGUCUACAGUCGCAUCUGUGUAGCAAGGACACCUUUAUAAAAUGUUGACUGCAAACUGUAACUGGACCAUCGUUUAAUUUACACACCAACUUGUUUUACAGUUUUACAUGGGUUUUUUUCGUGACCAAAUUUCAAACAGAAAGACUUCAAGCUCAAUUAAUUGAAUUCAUGACUGUAAUAUAUUCUAUGUGGC
rnacentral:lncRNA from 1 species